ACCGCCAUUUUGGCCGGUGGCCGUGAGAACACGCUGUGUGGCUGAAAAGUGAAGGCAAGAGCUGAUUUGGCCUCUGUGCUCCCCUCCGCAAGGGGAUCGUUUUCUCCAGAAGAGCUGGAUAUUCUUUCGCACAGUUAUGGCAGACAAGUUAACGAGAAUUGCUAUUGUCAACCAUGACAAAUGUAAACCUAAGAAAUGUCGACAGGAAUGCAAAAAGAGUUGUCCUGUAGUUCGAAUGGGCAUAAACAUUUUUUUGGAUGGCUAUGUUCCAACAGAAAACUUGAGAUUCAGAGAUGCAUCACUUGUUUUUAAAGUGGCUGAGACAGCAAAUGAAGAAGAAGUUAAAAAGAUGUGUAUGUAUAAAUAUCCAGGAAUGAAGAAAAAAAUGGGAGAGUUUGAGCUAGCAAUUGUAGCUGGAGAGUUUACAGAUUCUGAAAUUAUGGUGAUGCUGGGGGAAAAUGGAACGGGUAAAACGACAUUUAUCAGAAUGCUUGCUGGAAGACUUAAACCUGAUGAAGGAGGAGAAGUACCAGUUCUAAAUGUCAGUUAUAAGCCACAGAAAAUUAGUCCCAAAUCAACUGGAAGUGUUCGCCAGUUACUACAUGAAAAGAUAAGAGAUGCUUAUACUCACCCACAAUUUGUGACCGAUGUAAUGAAGCCUCUGCAAAUUGAAAACAUCAUUGAUCAAGAGGUGCAGACAUUAUCUGGUGGUGAACUACAGCGAGUAGCUUUAGCCCUUUGUUUGGGCAAACCUGCUGAUGUCUAUUUAAUUGAUGAACCAU
rnacentral:sRNA from 1 species